rnacentral:rRNA from 1 species
GACAGCCAGGAUGUUGGCUUAGAAGCAGCCAUCAUUUAAAGAAAGCGUAAUAGCUCACUGGUCGAGUCGGCCUGCGCGGAAGAUGUAACGGGGCUAAACCAUGCACCGAAGCUGCGGCAGCGACGCUGAUGCGUUGUUGGGUAGGGGAGCGUUCUGUAAGCCUGCGAAGGUGUGCUGUGAGGCAUGCUGGAGGUAUCAGAAGUGCGAAUGCUGACAUAAGUAACGAUAAAGCGGGUGAAAAGCCCGCUCGCCGGAAGACCAAGGGUUCCUGUCCAACGUUAAUCGGGGCAGGGUGAGUCGACCCCUAAGGCGA